AGUAGGGAAUAUUGGACAAUGGGCGCAAGCCUGAUCCAGCCAUCCCGCGUGAAGGAUUAAGGCCCUCUGGGUUGUAAACUUCUUUUCUCUGGGAAUAAAAAGUGGGAUUCUUCUCGCCUUGAAGGUACCAGAGGAAUAAGCACCGGCUAACUCCGUGCCAGCAGCCGCGGUAAUACGGAGGGUGCAAGCGUUAUCCGGAUUCACUGGGUUUAAAGGGUGCGUAGGUGGUUUUGUAAGUCAGUGGUGAAAGCCCGGAGCUCAACUCCGGAACUGCCAUUGAUACUGCUUAACUUGAAUCAAGUAGAGGUGGAUGGAAUAUUACAUGUAGCGGUGAAAUGCUUAGAGAUGUAAUAGAACACCGAUUGCGAAGGCAGUUCACUAUGCUUGUAUUGACACUGAGGCACGAAAGCGUGGGGAUCAAA
rnacentral:rRNA from 1 species